rnacentral:snRNA from 1 species
UCUAUAUAUAUAUAUAAUGAUUA